UAAGCGGAGGAAAAGAAACUAACAAGGAUUCCCCUAGUAACGGCGAGUGAAGCGGGAAGAGCUCAAAUUUGAAAUCUGGUAGCCUUCGGUUGCCCGAGUUGUAAUCUAGAGAAGUGUUUUCCGUGCCGGCCCAUGUACAAGUCCCUUGGAACAGGGCGUCAUAGAGGGUGAGAAUCCCGUCCUUGACAUGGACCCCCGGUGCUUUGUGAUACACUUUCAACGAGUCGAGUUGUUUGGGAAUGCAGCUCAAAAUGGGUGGUGAAUUCCAUCUAAAGCUAAAUAUUGGCGAGAGACCGAUAGCGAACAAGUACCGUGAGGGAAAGAUGAAAAGCACUUUGGAAAGAGAGUUAAACAGUACGUGAAAUUGUUGAAAGGGAAACGAUUGAAGUCAGUCAUGCUCUUGGGACUUACCUCCCUUGAGUGGGGUCAACAUCAGUUUUGAUCGAUGGAUAAAGGCACGAGGAAGGUAGCACUCUCGGGUGAACUUAUAGCCUCGCGUCAUAUACAUUGAUUGGGACUGAGGAACGCAGCAUGCCUUUUGGCCGGGAUUCGUCCACGUACAUGCUUAGGAUGUUGACAUAAUGGCUUUAAACGACCCGUCUUGAAACACG
rnacentral:rRNA from 1 species